GAUGAAGAACGCAGCGAAAUGCGAUAAGUAAUGUGAAUUGCAGAAUUCAGUGAAUCAUCGAAUCUUUGAACGCACCUUGCGCUCCUUGGUAUUCCGAGGAGCAUGCCUGUUUGAGUGUCAUUAAUAUAUCAACCUCUUCAGCUUAUGCUUGUUGAGUGUUGGAUGGUGGGGGUUUGCUGGUGUCUUAUGAAGUCAGCUCCUCUGAAAUGCAUUAGCGGAACAAUUUGUUGACCGUUCAUUGGUGUGAUAAAAAUAUCUACGCUAUUGACGUCAGUCAGUUCAGCUUCUAACAGUCCAUUGACUUGGACAAAUUUUUCAUUAAUGUGACCUCAAAUCAGGUAGGACUACCCGCUGAACUUAAGCAUAUCAAUAAGCGGAGA
rnacentral:misc_RNA from 1 species